rnacentral:rRNA from 1 species
UACGGAGGGAGCAAGCGUUACUCGGAAUUAUUGGGCGUAAAGGGCGCGUAGGCGAUCCGAUAAGUCUUGUGUGAAAUCCCAGGGCCUAACCCUGGAAUGGCACAGGAAACUGCUGGAUUUGAGUUCCGGAGAGGAAGGCAGAAUUCCCGGUGUAGCGGUGAAAUGCGUAGAUAUCGGGAGGAAUACCAGUGGCGAAGGCGGCCUUCUGGACGGAUACUGACGCUGAGGCGCGAAAGCCAGGGGAGCGAACGGG